GUGGGGGGGGCUUAACAUUGCAAGUCGAACGAUGAAGCCCAGCUUGCUGGGUGGAUUAGUGGCGAACGGGUGAGUAACACGUGAGUAACCUGCCCUUGACUCUGGGAUAAGCCUGGGAAACUGGGUCUAAUACCGGAUAGGAACGUCCACCGCAUGGUGGGUGUUGGAAAGAUUUAUCGGUCAUGGAUGGACUCGCGGCCUAUCAUCUUGUUGGUGAGGUAAUGGCUCACCAAGGCGACGACGGGUAGCCGGCCUGAGAGGGUGACCGGCCACACUGGGACUGAGACACGGCCCAGACUCCUACGGGAGGCAGCAGUGGGGAAUAUUGCACAAUGGGCGAAAGCCUGAUGCAGCGACGCCCCGUGAGGGAUGACGGCCUUCGGGUUGUAAACCUCUUUCAGUAGGGAAGAAGCGAAAGUGACGGUACCUGCAGAAGAAGCACCGGCUAACUACGUGCCAGCAGCCGCGGUAAUACGUAGGGUGCGAGCGUUAUCCGGAAUUAUUGGGCGUAAAGAGCUCGUAGGCGGUUUGUCGCGUCUGUCGUGAAAGUCCGGGGCUUAACCCCGGAUCUGCGGUGGGUACGGGCAGACUAGAGUGCAGUAGGGGAGACUGGAAUUCCUGGUGUAGCGGUGGAAUGCGCAGAUAUCACGAGGAACACCGAUGGCGAAGGCAGUCUCUGGGCUGUAACUGACGCUCACGAGCGAAAGCAUGGGGAGCGAACAGGAUUAGAUACCCUGGUAGUCCAUGCCGUAAACGUUGGGCACUAGGUGUGGGGACCAUUCCACGGUUUCCGCGCCGCAGCUAACGCAUUAGUGCCCCCGCCUGGGAGUACGGCCGCACGGCUAGAACUCAGACGAAAUUAACGAGAUUACU
rnacentral:rRNA from 1 species